AGAGUUUGAUCCUGGCUCAGGAUGAACGCUGGCGGUCUGCUUAACACAUGCAAGUCGAACGCAACCUUCGGGUUGAGUGGCGGACGGGUGAGUAACGCGUGAGAAUCUGCCUUAGGGUCGGGGACAACCACUGGAAACGGUGGCUAAUACCGGAUAAGCCGAUUGGUGAAAGAUUUAUUGCCCGAAGAGGAGCUCGCGUCUGAUUAGCUAGUUGGUGAGGUAAGAGCUCACCAAGGCAGCGAUCAGUAGCUGGUCUGAGGGGACGAUCAGCCACACUGGGACUGAGACACGGCCCAGACUCCUACGGGAGGCAGCAGUGGGGAAUUUUCCGCAAUGGGCGAAAGCCUGACGGAGCAAGACCGCGUGAGGGAGGAAGGCUCUUGGGUUGUAAACCUCUUUUCUCAGGGAAGAAGCUCUGACAGUACCUGAGGAAUCAGCCUCGGCUAACUCCGUGCCAGCAGCCGCGGUAAUACGGAGGAGGCAAGCGUUAUCCGGAAUUAUUGGGCGUAAAGCGUCCGCAGGUGGCGAUUCAAGUCUGCUGUCAAAGCACGGGGCUUAACUCCGUUAAGGCAGUGGAAACUGAAGAGCUAGAGUGCCGUA
rnacentral:rRNA from 1 species